rnacentral:rRNA from 1 species
UACGGGGGGGGCAAGCGUUGUUCGGAAUUACUGGGCGUAAAGGGCUCGUAGGCGGCCAACUAAGUCAUACGUGAAAUCCCUCGGCUUAACCGGGGAACUGCGUCUGAUACUGGAUGGCUUGAGAUUGGGAGAGGGAUGCGGAAUUCCAGGUGUAGCGGUGAAAUGCGUAGAUAUCUGGAGGAACACGGGUGGCGAAGGCGGCAUCCUGGACCAACACUGACGCUGAGGAGCGAAAGCCAGGGGAGCAAACGGG